rnacentral:rRNA from 1 species
AGAGUUUGAUCCUGGCUCAGAGCGAACGCUGGCGGCAGGCUUAACACAUGCAAGUCGAGCGGGCCCUUCGGGGUCAGCGGCAGACGGGUGAGUAACACGUGGGAACGUACCCUUUGGUUCGGAAUAACGCUGGGAAACUAGCGCUAAUACCGGAUACGCCCUUUUGGGGAAAGGCUUGCUGCCGAAGGAUCGGCCCGCGUCUGAUUAGCUAGUUGGUGGGGUAAUGGCCUACCAAGGCGACGAUCAGUAGCUGGUCUGAGAGGAUGAUCAGCCACACUGGGACUGAGACACGGCCCAGACUCCUACGGGAGGCAGCAGUGGGGAAUAUUGGACAAUGGGCGCAAGCCUGAUCCAGCCAUGCCGCGUGAGUGAUGAAGGCCUUAGGGUUGUAAAGCUCUUUUGUCCGGGACGAUAAUGACGGUACCGGAAGAAUAAGCCCCGGCUAACUUCGUGCCAGCAGCCGCGGUAAUACGAAGGGGGCUAGCGUUGCUCGGAAUCACUGGGCGUAAAGGGCGCGUAGGCGGCCAUUCAAGUCGGGGGUGAAAGCCUGUGGCUCAACCACAGAAUUGCCUUCGAUACUGUUUGGCUUGAGUUUGGUAGAGGUUGGUGGAAC